UUGCAUUUCUUGAUGUACUGAAAAUAUACAUCACUUAUAGGUGCUGUCAGGGAAGCAAUUGAAACUUUAAGGAGAAACAAUGUUAACGCUUUUGUCUUGGAUCUUCGGGAUAAUAGUGGUGGUCUUUUCCCUGAAGGAAUUGAGAUUGCUAAGAUUUGGUUAGAGAAAGGUGUCAUUGUGUAUAUUUGUGAUAGUCAAGGUGUUCGAGAUAUAUAUGACACUGAUGGAAGCAAUGCUAUAGCAGCUAGAGAACCCUUAGCCGUGCUGGUAAACAAAGGAACUGCUAGCGCAAGCGAAAUUUUAGCUGGUGCAUUGAAGGACAAUAAAAGAGCAGUGUUGUUUGGUGAACCCACAUAUGGGAAAGGCAAGAUUCAAUCAGUUUUUGAGCUAUCCGAUGGCUCUGGUUUGGCUGUUACAGUAGCUCGCUACGAGACACCUGCUCACACUGAUAUUGACAAG